UGCCACGGCGGCCCCGAGUACACUUGAUUUGAGGCCUACUGCUGGAGACUAGCAUUGCGGCCAAACAGUCGGUAUGCUAAUUUUUUGUUAGAUUUCCCACCUUGCCCGAAAAGUGGACUCCCGCCUUAUGGAGGCAGCAAAUCGUUAAGGGAAUUGUCAAAGUUAGAUAACGACCUAAUUUAUUGGGUUGCAACUACGUUAAAGUCACGCCUAGAUUGUUAUUUUUUUGGUGCUCCUAAAUAUGUUAAGGAUAUUUUUUAUAAGGAUUGGAUUCCACCUCAGCUAUAAUUCAGGGAUCUUAGAUUUAUCUAAGCAUUUUUUAACUACUUUCAAUUGCCCAGUUAUAUUAAAUUACGAGUAUGCAUAGAAAGAAGGCCUUCGCGCUUAAAGUUCUCAAGGGUUUUACUCCCGAUUCUUCCUCU